GGUUACCAUAGAACUAUCCUAGUUGACCACCGUCUAAGAGUGGUAAGGAGGGGGAGGCGAUGCGUAGAUGUAGUGCGGGGGUGGUGGAGGAGGGGACUUGUACUUGUAGGGCUUCUUGUAAGGGGGUGGUGGCGGAGAGUGAUAGAUUGGGUGGGGAAUGUAAGGAGGAUGAGGGUGAGGAAGAGGGUGCGGGUGGGGCAAAGGAUGGGGGUGAGGAAGAGGGUGUGGGUGUGGGUGGGGAAGAGGGUGGGGGUGUGGGUGUGGAAGAGGGUGUGGGUGGGGGUAUGGGUGGACAGGAGGUGGAGGCGACAGGUACUUGUAAGGCUUCUUAGGGGGUGGAGGAGGAGAGGGGUACACGUAGGGAGGGUGUGGGUGUGGAUGGGGGUGGGGCUGAGGGUGUGGGUGUGGGUGUGGAUGCGGGUGAGGGUAAGGGUGGACUGGUGGUGGUGGAGAUGGGUACUUGUAGGGAGGGUGAGGGUGAGGGUGAGGGUGGGGGUGUGGGUGGGGAUGGGGGUGAGGAUGGGGAUAAGGGUGCACUGGAGGUGGGGGAGAUGGGUAUUUGUAGGGCUUCUUGGGAGGAGGAGGUGGUGAGUGGUAGUAGUAAGGCUUCUUCGGAGGAGGUGGCGGUGGAGAGUGGUAGUAGUAUGGUUUCUUCUUCGGUGGAGGUGGGGGUGGUGAGUGGUAGUAAUAUGGUUUGGGUGGAGGUGGUGAAGGUGGCGGGGGAGAAUGGUAGUAGUAAGGCUUAGGUGGAGGUGGUGAGGGUGGUGGGGGAGAAUGGUAGUAGUACGGCUUAGGUGGAGGAGGUGAAGGUGGUGGGGGAGAGUGAUAGUAGUAUGGCUUCUUCUUGGGUGGGGGUGGUGGUGGUGAGUGAUAGUAGUACGGCUUAGGUGGAGGUGGUGAAGGAGGUGGUGGUGAGUGAUAAUAGUAUGGCUUAGGUGGAGGUGGUGAAGGAGGUGGUGGUGAGUGAUAGUAGUAUGGCUUAGGUGGAGGUGGUGAAGGUGGUGGUGGAGAGUGGUAGUAGUAUGGCUUCUUUUUGGGUGGUGGUGGUGGUGGUGAGUGGUAGUAGUAUGGCUUAGGUGGAGGUGGGGAAGGUGGUGGAGGAGAAUGGUAGUAAUAUGGCUUGGGUGGAGGAGGUGAAGGUGGUGGUGGAGAGUGGUAGUAGUAUGGUUUUUUUGGUGGAGGUGGUGAAGGAGGAGGAGGAGAGUGAUAAUAAUAGGGUUUCUUAGGUGGUGGAGGUGAUGAGUACAAGUAGUUAUCAGCUGAGAUUUGAGAAGGGAAGGUUAAAGACAGUAAUGAGAAUAGCAGAGUAAGUGUGGCGGAGGAGGCCAUUAGAGACCCCAUUGUUUUUCCCCUCAACCUCACUACAACGUGGGGUUUUGUUAUGCUUUUUCUCAACCAAAGAGCCACCCUUUAUAUAGAAUCUUUCUUUACCCCAACUAAUCUUUUUGGUAAAUUUCUUCUCAUGCAUGCGCAUUCCAAUCAUCUCUUCUCCUUUCUAAUAAAACAUAUAAAUUCCCAUAUAUAUUGACGUUGGCAAACAGAAAAAAGGCUUAAAUUAUGAAAAUGAUAUUUGUCCUUUUUGGGCAGUAAAUAUAAAUAGAUGAAGGGGAAUGUAAAAUGAUUUUGAAAUACUGAAACAUUAACUGGUUGGUUGUUUGAAAAGUAAAUGGAUGGCAUUGGAGACUUAAAAAAGUGUGGGACUGUAUGGUCCGUAGCAGCCUCAAUGAUUUUGAAGGAGUGUCUCUCUUUUUCUCUCUCUAAUCAAUUCAUAGAGGCUGCUUCUGUACACACUUUAGAGUGUGCACCACACCACGGCUUGCACAUGUUGCAUGCCAUUCUACAGUUCCUUUUUCGAUAAUACAAAAUUCCUUUUACUUUUUCCAUCUUUUAUUUCUUACCCUACUCUGCCCAUUUAAAUGCCACCCAAAUUCAUGUCUCCAUCUCUUUAAUUGCUAAUUUUACUUUUCUUCUCAAUUUUUUAAACAAACAACUGUGAUUUAUAAUUAACUUUUUGGUUGAAAAAAAGUGUAAAGGUCCCAACAAAGGUGGCUUCUUCUCCUUAAUGGGAUACUCUGACGUUAAUUGAGUUAAUGAAAACAUUAAUAGUGAAUGGUUGGUGUAACCCAAAUUACGUACAACGUUGGUUAUGAAUAAAGGUUCAUUCGGUGUAAUAUUGUAAGUAGUUUUAGUAUGACUAUAUAGUUAAAAUAAAAAUUUAAUCGAAGCUAAAAUGGAAAACACUCAUUCCCAUUUGUAUCUAAAUUUAGUUAUGAAUGAGUUAAACAUUGUUUAAUCUGGCCAAGAGAUUUUUUGGUUAACGGAAUUUAAAUAAAUUAUCGAAAAUGGGAAGAGUUAAACAAAGGGAAAGGAAGAAAAGUAGAGAUAGUAUAACCUACAAAUUUCAUGCUCUUAUUUUAGUAACUUUCUAUACAAGUUACCAUUUGUCACAUGUUCGAAAGGGUUGGUAAGUUUCUAACUUGUGUUUCAACGUCUCCUAAAAUAGUAAGAUCCAUUCAUAGCUACAUAGAUAGGUAUCUUAUACCUAAGUAUCAUUACAUCACUACUUAUGUAUGCAUAACCUAAAAUAUAAAAGAGACAGAUAUUGGUACACUAUAUUUUUAAAAUUAUUAUUGACUAAAGAUUUAGCAGUACAUAUAUAAAAGCAACCGCAGACAGAAGAGAAACUAGACAAGUUUUAUUCAUAAGAGUUAAAGAAUUUAUAAUUCACCGUCACUGUGUAUUAUCAUAUGAAAUCGAUUAAUAAAUAAAAUAAGAAAAGCAUAAUAAUAUGUAUGAUAGAAAAGGAAGGGUGAAGAAAAUAUUUAGCUAUCAGAUCCAGACUGGCCAUGUAUAUUUGACCAUUCAUGAUCUCAUAGAUGUCACAUUCCCAUUGACUGAAUGUAUUUUUCCAUAUGUAUGAAUGCGACAUGCACAGAUAGCACUGUGUCUCAGCAACAUCUCAUUGAUAUUUAACUUGUAAUAUAUUUCACACACAUUGUUUUUCUUUGUGACAAUGAGCAACAGUUUAAAGUUAUAGUAAGUUUGAUUUCGUGCAAUUUUUAGUGCAAAAAAUAUCAGAGAUAGUAGAACAAGAAAACAGGCAAACACCAGCUACUUCACUACUGUCUUGCGGUAAAAUUCCUUUACUUGAUCAUCAAGUGAAAGUGACUGCACAACGCAUAUUUUUUAAAUUAUUUUCAUUUUGAAACGAGAUUCUUCGUGUGAAAAGACAAAAUGAGAAUCUACUAUACAUGUUUAUUUUAAUACGUGCGAAAAAAAAAAUUAUUUCAAACAAUUAAAUACAUUAGGGGAUAGUGAUUUCUUAUCAAUUCAAGUAAUUCUUUUUUCUAAUAGCUCCAAACACAGUUUUAAAAUGUAAAACAUAAUUUAAAAAGAUUCCAGAGAAGAUUUUUUUUAUCAGCUAAAAAACAUAUAUAGUUAAGCAGAACUAUUUACUAAAGAAUUUUGGUUGAAAAUUUCACUGAACAAUGUACUAAGCAGAAGUAAUUAACAAUUAAAACGUGUUGUUAAAAUUAAAAUACAAAAGAAUUAUUAUUAUUUUUUUGGUAUCCUACGUAGCAAAGCCUGAAAGGAUUAGAGAGAUCUACCUAGUUUGGUAAAAGUUUGAAGGAUAUGUACAUGAAAUGAUGAUUGGGUGAUUUGGGGGAGGACUUUAGAGAGUGUAUUCAAGAAAGUUGGUCCAUUAUAGUCUAUAGUGGCAACAUGCAUGCAUAUACAUGAUGAAGAUGAAAAAGUAUAAAUAAUAUUUAUAGGGUAAAUGAUUGAUUAUUUUAAUAAUAAUAAGUAAUGGAAAAAUAGAAUAAAAAAAUUGGUAGGGUUGGGGAAACUUGAUUGGGGGUGUCUGGGAAGAUGGAAGUAUAGUCCAGUUUGAAUAACCUUUUUACAGCUAAAUUGUAACGUGUGGACACCAUGCAUGCAGCUCAAAUUCUGAUACAAUCAUAAAAAAAUAUUACAUCACAUGCUCACUUCAAAGGUAAACCCCUUUUUAUAUUUAACAAAUUCAAUUUAUCAUUUCACUAAACAAUUAUUCCCAACUUGUAAUCAAAAUUAAAUCCGAAUCUUCAAGUCUAUGUAUAUUUAAAUUUUUAUUUUUAUCGUGUUAACAAUAAAAGGAUUAUUUUUACAAGUAGAUUUCAUGUAUAUUUGCGAAUAUUCUGAAUAAUAAUGCGCAAGAACUUGUUAUUAAUUUAUGGAUUAUAUAUGUAUGGCAUGUGGGUUCAUAUAGACAGCCAAUAUUUACUUUAUAUAUCACAAACUUUAUACAUUAUGAGAUAAGACAUAUUUGUCCCUGUAUUAUGUACUAUUUUAAUAUUUUAAACUAAUGGUUUAGAAUUUGAAAAACCAAAAGUGUUCCUUGUAAUUUUGUACUCUUUAAUUAGGUGGACAGCAUUUCAUUAAUCACCUUUUGCAUGCAAUUUUUUCCUUUAUUUACAUCAUGGGUAGACAAUCAGGUUUUAGUAAAUAAUUCUACAAUCUUUAAAGAAAUAGAAAAAAAAAUAUAUUUACAUUUUAAAUUCUAAAACUAUAAGUAAAAAUGUAAUGCGACAUAAAUACUAGGGUUUUGUAAUUACAUAAAGAAUUUCAGUUUGUCUUCAUUUAGAUUCCACUCCUCUCUUUUAAUUAUGUCUAUUUUUAAAAAUAAAAGACUGGUAUGAUAUUAAUUUAAAAUUUAGAUUUCAAACAACGUAAAAUGAAAUAUUUCAAGCACAAUUUUUUACAUAUACUUUUUACAAAUAAAUACAUCUAUCCUGAGUUAGAAAUGUUGUUAAACUUUCUUACUCAAGCAUUACAAUUAAUCUUUCUUACUCAAGCAUUGCAAUUACUAACCCCAACAGGAAAUGUCAAAUUUAAUAUAUAUAAAAGCUAAUGAGAUGUAUAUUAAUGAUUAAAGCAAGAGAUUUUGAUUUGCCAUGAUAUCUAAAAGAAAAAAAAAAAGACUAGGAUGAAAGUAUGAGCAUUCAAAGUACUAAAAUAAUAUUAAACAAUGUGAACAAAACAAAUAUGCAUUAUUAUAUCACUAUUUAGCACUUGACUAAAAUAAUACAUUAUAAAUGGAGUGUGACAAAUUUUGAUGCAUUCAUUGAACACCGUUGGAUGAGAGCUGCCUCAUUAAAUUAAUUGUGGCUAUUGGAUUAAUUUAAGGAUGCAAAGAGUGAGUUGAAAAAUCAAACACACUAGAUCAAAGUGCACCAAAUUAAAAUCCUUAUUUAACUGUAUUCAUGUGGAAGCAAGAAAAAAAUAAACAAUUCAAUAGACAAAAAGAUAAUGUGUUGCCUUCAACUUUUUUAAGAAAAACGAAAUGACAAUAAUAUCAUCUUUUUUAAGUUACCGACACAAAAAGAUUACCAUGAGAUGGAGUUCACAUCUUGAACAUGGACCAUCAGGAUCAUGGUGAUGGAGUGGAUCAGACGGCUAGUGUUUCACAUGUAGAGAGAUCAAAAUGUCCAUUAUUCACUGCAAGAUAGGUACAUAAUCGUGUAUAUAAAAAUCCAUAAACAAAAGUCAAAGUAGGUUCACAUCAUGGUGUUGUUAUUCUGGUCCCUAGUGUAUGGUAUCUUCCUAGCUUCUCUACUUUGAAGAGUCACCACACUUCAAAACAAAACAAAACCCAAAACUAUUGAUAGAAAAAUCAAAGGUGACAGAUAUUAUUAACAAGCUGUAUUACACUUAAGUUAAUUAGUAAGUCUCUUAAUUAAUUAAAUUGUUAGAUAUUCAAGACCAUUAAAAAAAAUAAUAAAGAUAUCAUUAUCUUGUUGGAAUAAUUCUCAUUCUGUAAAUCCCCUUAUACGUGAUGAAGCCAUGAAGGCAUGACAUUGGUGAUGUGGACCACAUUUUCAGUAUAAGAAUUAAAUCUCUUUCUGAUUUUCCUCAUUGUAAAGAAUCCAAAGACCUUUGUCAUAAGAUUCCACUGCUUUGUUAGCUUUGACAACUACAAUUUCAAUGCAUGGCUACUUUUGUACAACUUUCUUCAAUUCAUCCUUAAUCUCCGUAACUACUUAAUUUUGCAAAUAAACCUUACUAAGUACAUUAUAUUAAUACUAAACCAUGCCAUAUGAGUGCAUUACAUUAAUUAAUACCAAGUCAUUGACAGAUCAACAAUAACUGCCACAAAAGCCUAGUCACCAGACGUGUAGUUUUGCAUAUAUGAAGUUAAUGAAAGAUAUGUAUAAUUACAAAGGAAAAAGUCUUUUUAACAACUCUUUUUUAACAACUUUUACGUGGCAGUCUAUGAUUGGUCCGUUUCAAAUAUUUUUUUAAACAUAAAUUUAAACAUACCAAUAAAAUGAUGACACGUGUCCUGUUAUCAAAAAAUUGUUAAAAAAGAGUUGUCAAAAUAUCAUUGUCCAGUUGCUAAAGUAAAGGAAACAAAAGUAAUGGAGCUUUGGGUGCAAUCAUGUGCAUGUUGUAUACUUAAGCAUCUUACCUUGUUAUCAUUACUCUGACCCAAAAUCAAUCAAUUUGCUUUCUAUAAAAAACAAGCAUCUUACCUUUUAAUGAAAUAUUAAAUACCCAUGAUAUUAAAAGCAUGUAAAUAAUUUGUAACACUUUCAAAGGUUCAAACAUUGAACUUUUAGGACAUCCUAUUUGAGGUUCUAACAUUGUUUUCUUAUGUGUGAGAUCCAUUGCAUUGUAUUGUCAUCUCUAUAUUUCAAAAGCCUGACAAUUUUUACUGUUUAUAUCAGUUCCAUGAAAAACAGUGAUUAUGUUCAUUCAGAAUUGCAUUUAAUUGGGAAGAUAAGAAAGAGUGGUAGAAGAAGUGAAGAAGACCCCACUGUAAUUGCCUCAGGCAAAGCAGAGAGAUUGAUCAGGAAUGAUGAUUUUUCUUUGUUUUUUUAUUGAUUACUUGCAGAGAGAGAGCGCCUAACAUUAUACUUAUUCUAGAGAAAUGAAGAAGAAAAGUCAGCUACCUACUACACAAAUGAUGCCAAAGAAUGAUAGAGAUUGAGUGAACCAACACUACCUACUUUUAUUAACUAUAAAAAUCAAAACUUUUAAUUAGUUCUUUUCAGUACCACUACUAUUAUUUUCUCUUUAAUUAACAAAUUAUUCAAGCUGCACAAAAUACUCUAAAAUCUAACCAAAAGUUUUAUGAUGUUUAAAAAUAACUCAGAAACUAAAGUAAAAUAUAAUUUAUGAAGUAAAUUUGGCAUGCUUUAAAUAGUAAACUAGCUUCAUAUUGGAACACAUCAUUCAAUCAAAUUUCAACUUUCAAAAGCUGAUGGUUUAUCGGGUAACUUUGCGUGAAACUUGUUAAGAAAACAAAAACAAUGACAGCAAAAUGACGUGAAUAACCUGUUUAUUUUCUGACAGGAGCAGUAAUUGCUUUUACUUUUAAAAUAUUCAUUUUUUUAACUUUUCUUAUAUGUACGUAGAUGAAAGGAAAGAGGUGGACCCCACCUGCCGACACAUACAAUACUGUUUAAGGGAAUGAAGACUUAUAGGUCAAAGUGAAGUUACCUAAACAGAUUAAAGUUUUUGGUAAAUUAGAUCAUUUUUACUUUAUAUUUAUAUAAUUUAUUUAGAAUUUUCAUAUUAUUUAUAUUUUCAUAAAGUCAAGUAAAUGAUCAAAUUUACUUUGUGAAGUUAACUUUUCAAAAUUAUUCUUGUUUGUUUAGUCUUCUUGAACUCUUUACUUCUGUCAUUAAUAAUGUGAUGUUUUAUUAUCUUGAAGAUAUAUUUUCAUUUACACUAUUAUUAAGAACAAGAAAAAAAAUUCUUGUGAUUUGUAUCUAUUUGACGUAUCAGACCAGAGAGAUCAACCUAAAAGAAUUUAUUAAGAAAAAAUUAUAAUUUAGUCAAUUUUAAUUUAUACUUGUACCAAAAGAGGCAUGUGAACCUCAUGCCUACUAGUAUUAGCUAUGUUUGGAUGUAACUGUUAUUAUAUAAUUCCUCCUUAAUCAUUUUGGAAUAACUUGAUUAGUUAUAUUUUUCUAGUUGAGAAUUUCUCAACAUAUUGCAAUUACCUAGGGUUAAUUAAUUAUUAUAAUUAUGGAUUGAUAUAGAACCAAUAACGGUAAUGAUAUGAAUAAGAAAGGGUCAUUGGGUCCUAGUUAGAGGCAACCAGACCCAUCAGACUAAGGGUACAUGAUUUUGGAAGGGAUUUUUAUAAAGUCAGAUUCUUCAAUUGCUAAUUUUUCACCCUCUCUCUAAAAACCCUUAUCCUAAAUAUUGCUCUGUCUUAUCUCUAAAAUACCACUCUGUUGAAUCGUCCAAUCUUUGGUAAAGAAGGUACAUAAACACUCCUAAUGUAGAGGGUUUCAUUCUGAACCGAUUACUUUCUCCGUCUCCUUCCGGUAAAUGGUUCUCCUGUUUCUUCCGUUAUUUUCGAAACCUAGGGCUUGGGUUUUACUGAUCUCAUGCAGUUAGAACCUUCCCUUCUUUGAUUUCUAUUAUAUUCUAGCUUUAAGAGUUGUUUUCCAUCGUCUCUUUGAGAGCCUUUCUUUGUUGGUAGGAUAGAGAAACCUUAAAAACCUGAGUUGGCACAUCCCUGAUCAUAGAGCAGCCCUGGCCUGAUCCAGUUAGUUGUGACUAGUCAUAUGUGCUGGCACCAAAGGUGAGUCUGAUGCGUUCAGAAAUCUAGGUCCUCUCCGGUGACCAAUUGGGGUAUAAGGAGGGUUGGGGGAAGGUAAGAUCUCCACUCUAAUAACAAUUAGAUAAACAGUUUAAUAAUUGGGAAACAUUUUAGGUUGGUUAAGGGGAAGUAAGGAGAGCUAACUCUAUUUUGUUUUGUUUGGUGUGUUUGAUGUGUGAUUUACUAACUAAACCGAGCUGAAUAAUGUUUAAAAAUCAUAAUUUACAGUAUUCAUAAUUUAUGUACAUUUGCUAUUAGAUAUGAAAGAAAAAUUGGUUCCAAAAGAAAUGCCUUUUUCUUUCUUUAGAAACAUUUGUAUAUGAUUGUAUCUAUAUUCUAUUGUUACAAACGUUUCUUUUUAUUUACAAAUUUAGACAAUCACAACUAAAUUUUAAAAUUGUCCUGAAGAGUCUCAAUAGUUCUUCCUUAAUUUUUGCCAUGUCUUUAAAUGUAUGUUAUUAUAAAUUUAAAUUAUGUUAAUGUUUUAUAUGCAUAUUAUAUUUUGAAUUUCAUAUUUAUUAGGACAUUUCAGAUUUAAUAAUAAUAAUAAUAUAUUUUGGAAUAAGUGAUAAUAAAUUGAAUAAUUAUAUUGGUAAUGAGUAUUGUGUUAUAAGUCUUGUGUUGGAUAAGUAAUACAUCUUGUGGAGAUUAUGUAUAUGUUGAUUGUGGCAAAAAUAUAUGAUUACAAAGUGUAAAAGUACGAUUAAAGUGGUAAACCAAGUUUCAUCUAUGUAGAAUCUCUUGGUGAGAUUCUUAGUGUUUUAGAAUGAAAGUAGGAGUUCAGUCUUGUGGGUCUUCUUGACGCUCCAAUGGCCUUUCUUCUCAUGUAGAGAGGAUUAGACUGUGUGGUGAGGAGUAGCAGGAGGUCUUAGUCUUGGAGGCUUCCAUCAUGCUCCAGAGCGCGGAACAGUCUAACCUCGUGAGUGUGGCAGGGCGGGAGAGCCCAAGGCGGUAGAGCCUAAGUAUCACAAGCCACCACGGGUGCAUGACCCACCAUAGCUCGACUAUCAUUCUAAAGUCCGGACGAGUCAAGUCUAGUAUUUAACAUGAUAGGAUGAAUGUUUUAUCUUGUUUGCUUUAAAUCAAUAUCUUGUAUGUACAUACUCUUAAUUGUAUGCUUUUUAUAUAAUUAGCUCACCCUUGCAAUUGCUUGUGUUUGUGCCAUGUUUGCGUUUGUUUCCCUUGCGAUAAUCAUCCACUUGUAUGGGAGCAGAUGGCGAGGAGAUACUUUGGAAACAACUCUUGAUGGAAAGGAAAUGUUGCUGCCUAGUUCUCUAGGUUUUAAUUAGAAAUUUUGUCAUGUUCUAAGUUUUAAAUUCUCUGUAUUUUAAGGGAGAAACUCUAGUAUUCCAAGUUUAUGUAUUAUAUUGUUUAAGGAUGACUGUAAUCUUAUUACUCUUAACUGCUUUCUAGUAUUAUUCAUGGUGACUCCUUUAUUAUAUUAUAUAUCUUUAUAAUAUAUAUAAUUGGGAUGUCACAAUAACUAUAUUUUGUUAAAAUUAAAUAAUAAUAAUAAACAAUCAAAUUAUUUAUUUUUUAAUAUAUUUUAAAAAAAUAUAUAUUACUUUAGUUUUAAUUUGUAUAAAAAUAUAUUAAUCAUUUAAAACUAAUUAAUAAUUUUUUAGUAUAUAAUUUGUAUUAUAUAACCUUCCCUCUAACCGUGAAUUAAAAGAAAUAUGAUUAAUUAAAAGAUAUUGAAUAGUAUAAUAUUUGGUGUAAAUAAGUGAAAAUAAAAGAAAACUUUAUCUUAUUUUAUUUUUCUUCAACCAAAUAAUUUAAUAAUUUAUUUUUUACUUUUUAUUUUCUUUGAUGCAUUUCUAAAACUAAUUCACAUGCGAUCGUAAUAUAACUUAAAGUUUAUAAUCUGCUGAUUGUUUACAAGUCAGUUAAAAUAAAUCAUGAGUUAUUAGCCAUCGUUUAAGUUAAAAGUGCACUGAUUUAUAUAUUUUAGACGUAGAAAUCAAAAGAGACAAAACAUAAUUUAUAUACUUAACGACCCAAUACGAUCCAAAAAAAGUGGUAAGAAAAAAAGUUUAAGUUAUGUUUAUAUUGUUGCAAUAUCAAAAAAUGAAGUAUUUGUUAUAAAUCCAUAAAAAACGUAAUAUAUGUAAAAUGUUCUUAUACAUACACCAAAUAUAUCUCAUUCCUAGUAAUAAAUUACUAUUGCAAUAACUCUUAAAUAAGAUAUGAGUGAAAAGAAAACAAUAAAUUAAAAUAAAUAAUGUGACAAUUUAUACCAGUAUAUAUUAUUCUUAACCAAUUCAAUAAUUAACACCAAAUGCUAAUUUAACAAAAUUAACGGGUGAAUUAAAAACUCUUACUAUUUAAAUCAUUAUAGUAAAAAAAACUGUAAUUAAAAAUAUUUUAUAUUCCAUUGUCUUGCAUAAAAUUUAGUGCUAUAUACACCUUUAAAAAUGACAAAUCCAGAAUAAUUUAGUUAUAUUAUUAUUGUUAUAAAAAUCUUACAAUAUUAGUGGGAGCAAUCGGAACGAAAACAUGUGAAAUAAUAAAUAAACCUAUAAAAAUCACAUCAUAGAAUGCAAAACUAUAUCAUAUGGGAAUUUCUUGUACAAAAUUUACAGAAUGAAUAAUUUUUAGCACCACGUGUGCAUAUAUAACAGAUCAUAUGCUAGCACAAAACAAACUAUACGGCUAAUUAUCUACAAAUUCAUAGCCACGGUUUCUUUUGCCUUUAUGUAGUUGUAUCAAAGGAUUUCUUUUAAGUAAAUAACCCUUCAGAAAAAUAGUUUCAUAAAAAAAAAGUCAUUAAUAAUAGCAUAAUGGUACUUUUUAUUUAUAAAAGUAUUUUAAGCACACUACAAUUCAAACUUUAUAAAUCAUAAAUUUGGAGGAGUUGUUUCUACAUUACAUACUACUAUUUAAGAUAAGCUUUCUUUAGUUUUUCAUAAAUAUCUUAAAAGACAUAUCAAUAACGAUUUCUAAUUGAGUGAUAAUAUAGAUAACUUUAUUUAACACAAUAUAAUUAAACUCUUGCUACAUCUACCUAUUCGAUGAAAGGUGAAGGCUGUAGAAGUGGAAACACAAUUUCAAGAUAAUCCAAGUAGCUAUCACAUUCCCAGUCUUCUGAAUUAGAGCCUUGGCCCCAUAACCCUGAAGCUAAUAACAGUUCUCACAAACACGACCAACAUAGCAAGAUAAUAUUAAAAAUAAAAACCUUUAUUUGAGCAAAAAAAAUAAAAAACGCUAAUCAGGUUCAAACUAAAAUUAUCAAUAUUUAUACAACACAGUAAAUUGACUAGGCCCAUCCCAAAAAUCUCCAUGUUAGAUUUGCUCAAAAUGCAAUUGUAAUUUGAUCUCAGCCAGUUAAAAUACUAUGUGCACCUAGGGAGCUCAAUUAAUUAGGAUUGUAGCCAGGAGGGAGAGACUAAAUAUGCAGGUGAACAUCAACUCUGAACAUUCUCACCUCAGAACAGUAGUAUGGGAUAAAGAAAAGUAGGACAUUAUGACCAGCAUAAAACCUGGGUGAACUAAUUCAUCACCUCUUGCCACGAGGUCCAGGUCCGGAUCUGGGACCGGGAAACCGAGAAAACUGAAGCCGCAAGUGGCUAGACUCAGGAUUGAGUUCAUCAACUUUAUAACCUGUGUCAUCACACCACAAUGUCAGCAAACACUGAAAUUUGGGUACAUAAUUAUUUGAAAAAAAUCAUUGACUACUGAGUUCAAAUCCUACAAUACUGACUCACUGAGAUCACAAGGAACAACGCCACUAGCUUGAAGACAUAACUUAAUCUCAGAUCAAGUUUCUACUAUAAUUUUUAUUUACCAUUAGAUUCUCCUUUCCAAUAAUGACCAACUUCCAUAAAUUGUGUGGAGGAAUUUUUUAAUAGUUCAACUUGUCACCAUUUUAAUUGGAGAACUUAAUGACAAUGAUGUAAGAAACGUUAUUAAAAUUUUGUACACAAGUAUGCUGACCACUUGAACAGCAGCUGACUAUGUGGCAGAACAUUGGGACUUUACGUAUCAUAAAAAAAAAAAAAAUAUCUUCAUGUUAAAAUUAGACACACGAGAUGGGUGAUUGCAUUUUCCAAAGUGAUGAUAACAACAUGAAAACAAAUAUUAAUAGUAUCUCCGUAUGUGUUCAUUUUAUGUACUUUGGGAAUGAAAGAGGAUAACAAAUGGGAACAAGGAAGUUGGAAAUCAUUUAUAACGUGUUCACCACUUCAGUUCUAUGAAGUAACCAGUUUGAAUAAACCACUAAGUCACAGAUAACUUUCAUAAAGAUAUUCAAUUUAACAGUGUUUACCAAUUUCCCAUUUUAAAUGCUCAGUUAAAUACAAUAUACAGUAAUAUCAUAAUUAGAUAAGCACAUCAUACUCUAACACUUGUUCAUAUGGAAUUUUAUUGAUAAAUUUAGUGCAACUUUAAAAUGUUUUACCCCGUUACAAUUCAAAAUUUUAUAACAAAACAUUAAGUUUAUUUGGUUACAUUUUCAAAUGUGACUUAUUGCACUCUUUACGCUAUUUUCAGAAGCUCACGGUUACAACUUCAAAUUCUAAAUGUCAUUCCUCCCUUUUCAACGAGUUCCCAAACACUGACAGAAUUCAGGAACAUAAUAGCCACAUAUUGGUUCAGAAGGCCAAAAUACAAGGUAAUUCUACAAUUUUCACAACCUCCAUCAAGUCCCCUUUUAUGAGGAGAUGAUUUCCUAUACGAUGACUCGACAAUCAAACAUGAAAUUAAUUUCAUUUUAUCUCAGCAGGUAACAAGAAGUGAUACCUUGCAGUGCACUCAGAGCAGUUGCUGCACAAGCCGGAUUUGCAAAAUCCACAAAACAAAGGAUUAGAGGAUCUCCUCCACGCUGCAAGAAGCAUGCAUUUCAGCAUAAAGGAUAUGAUAUUUCAUUCAAUCAGCAGAACAACGAGAUACAAAAUAAUAGAUGGCAAACAGACAACUUACGUGUUUCGAUUCUUUGCUCACAAGUCUUACUUCUCUAUAUCCAACAAAAGGGCGAAAAAUAUCUUAAAAUGGCGUUAAGGAAUUUGAAAAGCUAUAAUAGAAAAAGGAAGCUUACAAGACAGUUGACAGUAUGAUAAUACAAUUACUAAACAUUAUGGGAGGGAAAAAGGAUACGAGCCACUUCCCUUCUCGUGCUAUCAGAUGGGAGACCUUCAACAUAUAAAGUACUGGAUGCAUCUGGCGGUAGAGGUACAGUCUCUGGUCCAGGCAUGGAAGCUGUGUCUACUGGUAACUGACCACCAUAAUUGACAUUCCGUCCAUUUCGUGCAAGAUCAUGACCACCACCAGGAUGCCCCAUAACACCAGGAUCAGUUAGCGAAUGGCCUGGCAAUCCACCAACACCCCUUGCCAAUCCAACACCACCAAUUGCACUGGCUUCCCCAGAAUUAAACGAAGUAAGCUGCUUUUAUCAACCAAAAAGAAGUUUUAAUCAAACAAGCUGUGAAAGCACAUCAUCACAUAUUAUGUAAAAAGAACAGGCUAAUAUACCCCUGCACUUUGAAGGUAGCGGUCAUAUGCAGAUCCAAGUGUUUUAGUGUCCUUUAGCAUUCGGUGACCAGUAUGGUCAUCAUUUCGAGCAAUAUAAUUAUGCAUCUCAUUGCCUCCCGAAGUCAGACCAGAAGGUGACAUAUCUGCAAUGUAAAAGAAUCUAGCCUUUAUAACUCUAGUAAAACAAACAGAAGCUGAAUACACUGAAUUAGAGAAGUUUUGAUCAUAUGCAAUGUUGUAUACCAUAGCCAUCCCUCCAAUGCUAACCACUAACAGUACAAAAAACAUCUAGUAGCAAAUAUGCCAGAUGCUGGCAAAACACAGGUAACUAAACAGCACAUGACCCAUAUUUAGUGCUCAUAAUAAUACAAAGAGUAGAGUGCACACACAAACAUGUUUUUUUGUCACCUAUCGAACUAGCAGUAAUCAGAUCCUUACACACCAAGUAGCAUAAAAAGUCAACCAUAGUUACUUGACUAGUUGUAUUAGCUUAACCACUCAAACUAUAGUUCCAGGAGACUGCUAACACACUAAUACUUUCACAACUCUAAGCAGUUAACUGGCAUGUACUAUCCACCAUGUUUGGUCUUCUUCCUUGUAAGAGAAGUCAAUUCAUUUAGUUAAUAUUCUCUUUCAUUGUCUCUCCAUCUCUAUAGCGCUCACUACUAACUUUUGUCACGGGAUUGAGAGCUUUUCUUGGAUCUAUUUCCAUACCAUGGCUUUACCACUUAACCCAUUCCAGUCUUCAGAUCGAACAACAUCACUUGGUGGAUCAUCUACUCAACCCACUCUCCUGCUCAUGUCUCAUUCUCACACCCAAUUUCAACAUAACUUGAUGAAAGAAAUUUCCUACGUAGGCAACAGUAAGCACAGGCUAAGUAUUAUUAUGACCAUAAAAUUCCCAUACAAGUUAGGGAAGUUGUGCUUUCUGACAUGAAAGUUAGUUUUGUUUGAAGUAAGAUUGGAAGGAUCAAAUGCACUAUUCCAUGGCUACUUCACCAAAAGAAUAUCUUCUGACCAGAAAGUCAAUGGAUGCAAACAUUCCUAGCAGAUCUGAAAAUUUUCAGAAAUUACAUUUAUUUGCACUUGUGCUAAGGUGUGUCAAUUCAGAUCUCAAUUGAAACAAGAAAAUGAGCAAUUAAUUUCUGAGCAUCUGCCUUGAUUAAAUCCAUCAUCAAUUCCUUGAUCUAUCCAUCAAUGAUCCACUUUCAUCUUGUUACCUCAAUAAACACCAUAAUUGAUCCAUACGAGUAUUGACACAUAGCAUCUUGUUCGGGAAGCACAACUGGUAAGCAUCAGCAAUGCACUCUUUCAAAUGUAGCUCGAUUUUUCAAAGAGAGAGUGCUGCAGUUUCAAGCAUUCAUCACUCAGCACGACUGCCCUGGUCACCUUAUCUUCAAAAUGUUCCCCAGGAAGCUGUACUUCAUUAGGCUGUGUCAGAGAUCGUGAAGGUCAUGCAGAUUGGUGAUGCUCGAUUUCUUGUCAAUUAAGUUUGGUCAUGAUGCCACAAUUGCUAUCACUAAUUUGAUAAUAAAUUGUUCAAACAACUUGCUUAUUUACUUUCACCCAACCAACACAUACUACUCCGCACUGCAGUGCCAACCAUUGGGAUACACUCCAGCUUUGGCUCAAAACAAAAGUACAACUCACCUACUCCUGGUUUCCAUGGGGCACCACCUUUGGGAGCACUUUAAUUCCUGUUUACACUAAUUAACAAAUCCAACAGUACAAAGUCAUUCCAACCCAUUCAACUCCAAGCAUUUCCUAGCAAAGGUACACACUUCCACCUUUACUCAAACUGGAAAGGUUUUCCAUUCAAAUAUAGUUUCCAGAAUCAAGUCAAUCACCAUCUAACUACAGGAUCUGCAGAAUUUAUUCAAAAACUAGUCUUAUCAGGCAUGGCAAAGAUUUCGAUACACAAUGGAUAAGUAAGGGACAACUCUGCUUACUUUGACUUCCAUCCUUCCAUCUCACUUAUUUUGUCCAAUUCCGAAGGUGUUCUUGAUUCAAAUGGGCUCUAUCAAUUUCAUAACAUGUAAAUUACUUCCUCUUGUACUACAAGAGAACACACAUAUUAGACACAGACAAAACAGGAUUUUUCCCUUUUCCUCAAGUCUCAUUACAGUUUAUAUUUUUCAAUUAUGUUUUUCUGCUAUAAACUUAAUAUACAGAAUAAAAAAUGUAAAGGCUUCAAAAUGAAACAGCAAUCACUCUUUACUCAGAAUGCUCACUAAUGGGUCAACAUUAGAAAGACCCAAAAGUCAAAACCCAACAGUAGAAGUAAGGAUCCUUCAGAGAUGGAAGGUGCACCAGAGAAAGAGGCGUCUAACUGUCCUGCAUUAUGACAUGUUGUAUUGACUUCUUCAAAGAAGGAGAGUGAGACAUGUAUAUUUCACCAUGUCUAGCAUGUGAAAUAUAACAGGUAGGGGGCUGAGUUCCAUAGUGAUGCUCCUUAGGAAAUGUUACGAAUUUAUGAAAAUGGCAAAAGGAAAGAAUUACAAGUUCCAACAGAAGAGAUUUUGAUUGUUGAGAAAAGGAAAAUACAAGUCAGCACAACUGCAUGCACAAAUCAUUCUUACAUCAAUCCCUCGAGUUCUUGUAUAUGAAUCUCCUUACACAUGACACAUUGAUAAAUACGUUAGCAAAUGAAUCACCCCAACACUAACAAUAAAAGUCAUACUCUUGUAGAAUGAAUACUCAGAGUGAGUACAUAACACACUUUCUGUGUAUAGAUUGUCUUUUACUACAAACAAAAUAAUCAUCAAGAUAUAAUUCCUUCAAAGCUUCCUAUUUGCUAUAACAUAUACAGAAUAUUACAGCUCAAUGUUGUACAAAGGCUUCAUGUCAUGAUGACGAAAACAAUGACGAAACCAUAGCAAGAUGCAAUGUUGACGCAGAAUACUAAGAUGUUAUAUUUGAGUAAGAAACCAAACGUGAAAAUAGACAAACAUAAGAUCAUAAUUCAAAGAAAAGAAAACUAGAAAGCUCAAAAAAAGCUAGGAACAUUGAGAUUAGCCAAUAGAAUUUUCAAACACACCACAAACAGAAAUCUUGAAGAUGGAUUAGAAGUUCAAAAAUUGAGAAUGCAGUCCAAAGGGGAUGCUGAGCUUUGAAAAGGAAGGUCAUAUUGGUUUAAAAAGUCAAAGUAUGAGCAGAUUAUCAAGACAGUAGAAAUUAUGUUAAAAAAACACUAUGAUCUGGUCUAGAAAACACUCCUGCAUCCCAGAAGUUCACAAGUAAUUCCAGUAAUGGUCCUUUCCUCACAAUGUUGAAUGGAUUUUGGAAAUGGCCAGAGACACCUAGGAUCAUAUGAUCCUGAGUAUUACCAUAAGGCUACAAAACACACUGUACCAAAAGAAUUUUCAUAAAUAUAGGCAGGUUGCAAUAAUCAGCACAUAAAAUAGUAUAAGUAGUUUAAUUAAAUAAUAUAUUUUGGAUCAUUUUAUAGAUGAACUCCAUGAAUGCUGUCACAAGUCACUGUUCCACCCACUUGAAAAUCCCAGCCCAAAAGUAUACAGAAGGAUACUCCCGUGACACAAAUUGGGUCCCGGAAAAAUUUAAUCUUCAAGAGCUUCAAAUCAUAAAAGCACUUCUUUUAAGGUAUUAUAUCUCAAAGCCCAACAACACAUCCAUAUUCUAUGUUUGUCUAUGCACAUCCAAACUCAAUAACAUCACCACUUCGCUUUGUCAUCUCAAAAACGGAAAUAUAAAGAUUUAAAAACAAUAGAGACAAUCAAACAAUUGACCAAAUCCUAAACCAAUGAAACUAAAAAGGGGUGACUCCAAACCCUAACUUUGAAUUUUUAAAUAGAAAAGUGAAGGAGAGAUAGGAGAUAACCAUAUUCAGUACGAGGUCGUUUGAGCAUUGCGGUAGAGGGCAGAAGCGGCUGUUGCUGCUGCCGAUUCCAGGAGCCAUCAGUCAUGACGAGAGAAACGAUGGAUUUCGCAGAUCUGAUGAACAAUGGUUAUGAUUAUGACUACCGGGUGAAGAUUGAUGGAGAUCCAAUUACAAACCCUAAUUUGCUCAAUACCAAACCCUAGCCUUUGUCCUUCUACAAAAGAGACAAUUUUUUUAAGAGAACUCAGUUUUUUUUUUAAGGAGAUGGUGUGUGGGGUUACAAUUUAGUUUUUUCCAAAUUUCCAUUACCAUAUGCAAAUUUAAAAUGCAUACCACAUAAGAUAAGAUUAGAUGAAUUUAAUUUAAUAUAUAAUUUUAAUUCUAAUAUCUUUAGCUUGCACAAUAAAUUAAUCUUUUUAAGAGAAAUUGUAUUCUUCUCCCAUAAUUUAAUUUUUGUAAUUUUAUUUACUAUAAUAGAAAUGAGUAUCCUUCUAUUAAAAAUAUGAUAAAAAUAUGAAAUUAAUUUAUUAGAGUAGAAGACGAGGGAAUAUUUUCCCCAUAUUGGAUAAUGUUUCAAUGGUCAUUUUUCAUAAAGGAAAAUCUAUUUUUUUUUUCCACUGUAACAUCUUUUAUUUUAAUAUUAGUUAGAAAAAAAAAUAUUUUAUAAUUAUUAUCAUAAAAUAGAAACGGGAAAUAUAAUUUUUAUAAUUUUAGUUGUGACUUAAAAUAUGUUCCAAAAAUAACAUUGUAUAACCAUGAAAAUUGUUUAUAAUAACUCUAUAGUAUAAUUUAUACGGUUAAAAUAUUUGACUACUUUGAAUUGUAAUAUAAUCUUGUUAUUUUAAUUAUUUAUUAUUAUAAAAUUUAGAUGUAUAUAAAGAAAAAAUUUAGGGUUAAAUAUGUUUUUAAUUUCUAUGCUAUCAAGCGUUCUUGGUUUUUAGUCUCUAUUUGAAAGUAAGGUACAUUUUAGUCUUCCUCCUUAAGGAAAUUUUGAUUUUAGUCCUUCAAAACUAACAAUGUUAAAAACCAGCUGACGUAACUAAGAGCAGACUGACCCGAUUUUUUUUCUUGUAUUGUGUCAAUGUUUCUAACCUUUUCUUCCUCGUCUCUUCCUUCCGUCUUCCACUCAACCUCGUCUCUUUUUUCCUUCUAUCUUCUCACUUUUUCUUACGCUGAAAAUGGUGUAAUCUCAUAGGGUAGUUCUACUGUUAAUGUCAAUUUUGUAAAUGCAACAUGAGAGAAGGCAGAAGAGCUAGCUUCAGACGUUAAGAGUAUUACCCAGUUGUAAAAUGAAUAUGUUGUUCCCUUUGGGCUCUGGGAGGUACUUCCAUUCUCUUUUUGGUUAUUUAUUGACGUCGUUUUGUUUUGUUUUGGUUUAGAUUGUUGCAGUUUUAAAUUUAUUUUGUUGUUCUUGUUCUCAUUAUUUUUAGUUUUGAACUAGAUCAAUAUCUUUAAAAGCUUGAUAUGAAAACUACUAGAUAUAAUUACAAGUCUUUUGAGCUUUAGUAUCUAGAUAUCGAUGGCAACCGAGAUUCCAAUGGUGUAGGAAAGGAUUCAUUGUUAGGUCCUCCUUGCCCAAGGAAGAAACGGUCUAUUUUUGUUCAUCUCCUUCCUUUUCUUCUGAUUAUUUUUUUAGCAUAAUCAAACUGUGAAAAUAUACUUAUGAUUUCUUUUCUUUCAAAUGAUACAAAGUUAUAUAAAGGGAAGUUCUGACUUUUUUUUUUCUUUUCUACUGCAUAUUCUUUCUAUAUUUUCAAACCAAAAGGGCGUUUCUGAUUUUGUUGUAUCUUUUUUUUUUCUUAUGAGAAGAUUUAGUUGCAUUUGUCACUGUACCACUGGGCGAUUUAGUCAGUGUUGUUUUGUAGUAUUUUUGCUAAAAAGAAACGAGGUUGGUGGAAGAUGGAAAGAUGGAAGGAAAAGACGAGGGAGGAAAGGUGAGAAACACUGGAAAAAAAUCGUGUCAGUCUACUGUUAAUCACGUCAGCUGGUUUUUAACGGCAUUAGUUUUUGAGAACUAAAAUCAAAGUUUCCUUAAAGAGAAAGACUAAAAUGUACUUUAUUUUGAAAAAGCGACUAAAAAAAAACGCUUGAUAAUAUAGAGACUAAAAACAUAUUUAAAAAAAAUUAUUUUGUACCGUGCAUCCUAUAAUAUUAAUGUUAUACUAUAUAUAACCAGAUUUUUAAAUAGAAUGUAUAGUACUCAAAUUCAAAUAUAUUUUAAAAUAUUGAAUUGUUUUCUUUUCUCAAGUUGUAGUAGAAUAAUGUAUUUUAUAUUGAAGAAAAAUCUUCUUAUAAAAUAAUAAAAUGGUAUAAUUAUAAUAUUAUAAAUAUAUUUUUUUAUUUUCUAUACUAUAUGUAUUAAUUAAUCACUUAUUAAUUAAGCUUAAAUUAUAUUUUAGAAUGUUAUAUAUAUAUAUAUAUAUAUAUAUAUAUAUAUAUAUAUAUAUUUGUUAUUUAAGAUUUAAAAAAUUAGAGCAUCCAGCAACUAAGUACAAUGGUCUACACCCACCCAUUUAUUCUCUCCGAGGUAGACAAUUAAUAAUUUAAGUUGACUUAAACAAUGGAUGAAAUAUUUCAAAUCUUUAAGUUCAAGCAUCUACAUUAACUAUCAUUUUGGAAAAGUUUAAGGUCUUCAAAUGAGAAAAAAAAAACAUGUUCUUUUUACAUAGAUUUUAACUUAUUGUCAAGACAAUACAAAACGAAUUCCAGAAUGUAUAAAGUUUAGGUGCUUAACUUAAGUUGAUUAAAGUAUCAGAUAAAAAAAAUUACAAAACAAUUGACUUGCUGCAUAAAUGACAACCUUAAAUAAUUAAUGUCAACAAAUUUAACUAAUGUUAAUUCAGACACCAUUUAAACAAUCUCUCCCUUUUUACAUUAUCUUUAUGUGAACUCAAAUACUUAUCAUUACUUAUAAUCUUAAUAUUUGAUUGGUUGAACUUUUAUUAGAUGAAUAAAGAGUUCUAGUGUAGAAUUGUCUUUUAACGUCAUCCCUUAGACGUAAGUUAAGCGGUGACCCGUCAUAAACUAAUGACCGGUGACACUUUCGUAAAUAAGCUGUUAAUAUAGACGUCAGUUAAGAGGGGUCCUGACGACUAUAAUAUUAUAGACGUCGGGGCCCUCAUAACCGAUGUCUAUAGGUCCUCAUAUACGUCGGCUCCCCCGAAUAGAUGCCAAAACUAAACGAAAAAGUUAAUAAAAAAUAAUUUUUUAUUCUAUUUAGACGUCUGUUAUGGGGGGAACGACUUCUAAAGCACUUUAGAUGUCACUUAUUUAGGGAACCGACGUCUAAACCCUAAACCCAAAAAUUUAAAAACUCAUUUUUUGGCUCCAUAUAGAUGUCUGAUCUCGCCACUCCGACUUCUAAAGCAUUUUCGACGUCUGUUAUUGGGAGAACCAAUGUCUAAACCUUAAACCCAAAAAUUUAAAAUCUCAUUUUUUGGCUCCAUAUAGACAUCUGAUCCCGCCACUCCGACUUCUGAAGCAUUUUAGACGUCAGUUAUUGGGGAACCGACGCCCAAACCCUAAACUCAAAAAUUUAAAAAGUCACUUUUUGGCUCCAUAUAGACGUUUGAUCCCGCCACUCCGACUUCUAAAGCACUUUAGACGUCUGUUAUUGGGGGAGCCGACGUCUAAACCCUAAACCCAUAAAUUUAAAAAGUAACUUUUUUACUCCAUUUAGACGUCUAUUAUGGGGGGAACCGACUUCUAAAUCACUUUAGACGUCUGUUACAGGGGAAUCGACUUCUAAAUGUCGGCAUUAAAAUACCGUGAUCGCGAGACAGCCGUUACGCGCACUCAUUGUUCAUCAUCUUCGUCGCGUUUUCUCUCUACAAGUUACACUUUUCAGGUUCGUUUUCUCACUUUUGCGCCGUUUUAAAUUAGUUUUACUCCGAUUACAUCAUUAUUUGAUGCAUUAUCUUUCAUUUGAACCGAUUAAAAUGCAUUUUCGUUGGGUUUUGGUGCACUUAUUCUCGUGUCCUUGGGCGACGUUCUUUGGCAGCGAUUUCUUGCGUUUUGCACUCUCCAAUUCCCUCCACUACAUUUUUAAAACCAUAUAAUAAAAAAAAUAUACAAUACAUUCUCUUCAACUAAAAUAUAAAGUUGUAAACUUAAAUCACCAUCAGACCUAUAUGGAUCAAACGUCUAUAUAGGCGUCUGACCUAUAUAGGUUCGACGUCUAUAUAAACGUCAGACCUAAAGGGUCGGACGUCUCAUUAACGUCACCCAUAUAGACGUCGGACAGAGAUAAAUUGUUAAAAACCCAAAAUAACAGACGUCUAAAGUCCUUUCUGCAUGUUGUAAAAUAAGUAUUCUAUCACGUGUUAAGAGAGAGUUAAUAUUGACAUUUAUUUAAAUGUAAAACAUAUAAAUUGUAUUCAAUUGAAAGUUUGUAUUGUGGUUUAAGUGAAAGUUGUAACGAGUUAUGUUAUUGAUAGAUUAAUAUGAAACAUGUAAAAUAUACAUAUACUUAAUAAUGUUAAGUUGUAAGUAAUAUGAAACUAUGUACCUUGUGUUUUCAGAUUUUGUUGUGGUAUCACACAAACAUAAAUAGAGUUUGAAAAUGUGAUGAUAAGUACUUUUAAGCAUGACAUUUAUAAAGUAAUAAAAUAAGAUAUUUUCCUUUUUCUAAUGAAUUACUCACAAAUGAAAUUGUAUGUUGUGAGAAACUAGAAAAAGAUUAUUGUGUAACACUCCGGCAACUUACAGGGACUGUUGACUGCCCUUACACAUCACCAUGAGACUUUCCAAUGUGCUUUGCCCUCACUCGCACACUUUCUGGGAAAACUUCCCGAAAGGUCACCCAUCCCAGAAUUUCUCCAGGCUAAACACGCUUAACCAUGAAGUUCUUAUGGGUUAGACUUCCGAAAAGUAAAUACAUUUUGGUGAUAUGGGUAGCCAAAUCAAUUCCUUUAAGCUAUCCUUCAACUGUAUAGUCUCAUACCUAUACUUAACCAUGAAAUUCUUAUGGGUUAGGCUUCCAAAAAGUAAAUGCAUUUCGGUGAUAUGGGUAGCCAAAUCAAUUCCUUUAAGUCAUCCUUCAAUUGUAUAGUCCCAUACCUAUACAGUCUCCAAAUCCCUCUCAUUCCAGUGUAUGUUCGAUUCGUCCAUGUGUCCCUUCCACUAGAAGCCUGCCAGGAACUGCUCUUUGUCUGUGUCCCCUGCACCAUGCCUCUUGCACCGGCGAUCACUCUCUGCCCUUGUCAGUGUCCGAGUGUUACAUAUUGCAUCAUCAUUUUCUAUAACAUCUAAGCAAUUAUUGGUAUACUAUUGGUUUUUACCAUACAUGUUUUUUUUAUAGAUCAUGCCUUAGUUUAUAUUGAAACAUAUUUAUUGUAGUAAUACAUUUAUAUUAUAAUGAUUAAAACAUGUUAAUUAAAUGAUUUGUAGGUGAAUAGUGAAUGCUAAACAAAAAGUGACCGCUAUGAGUAUUUCGAAAAUAAUUAAAACUUUUGAUGCAAAAAGUUAAGGUUGGUGAUCACAUUUCUAUAUUUAAAUUGAUAUUUCCAAUUUUAUUAUGUACAAGAAAAAAGACAUGAGAAAGUGAAAAGAGACGUUAUGUAAAACAAUAUAUAUAUAUAUAUAUAUAUAUAUAUAUAUAUAUAUAUUUCUUUUACAAUUUCAUCAAUAUAUUAUAUUUCAUUCUCAGAAAGAUUUGAAUUACUCUUACAUUAAUUAGUCGGGAUAAAUGAGUUUUAUUAUUAUUAAAAUAAUAAGAUAAAACUUUUUCAUCAUGAACUCUUUUCACCCCAAGAUUAAACCUUUAACUAUAACGUCAUCAAAUUUUCAAAAUUUAUUAGAAAAAAUUUAUAUCUUACAAUAAUAAGAAUAAUAACAAAUUAAUAUUAUUUGAUGAAAGUAUAAAAGUUAAGAAAAAUUACGAGAAAAAGAAAAUAUUUAUUUAUCAAUAAAAUAAAAUGAAUGAAUAUUAAGAUUAAGAAAUAAUCUAUAAGCAAGCAACUAUUGGUAUACAAUUCUUUCUAUUAAUUAAACUGAAGAAAUUGAUAAUGCAUUUAAUUAAAUAAUUUUUUAAAUUGUUGUGAUUGUAGGUGGUAUGUUUGUUUAAUUGUUGAUGAUAUAUUUAUGUAUAUCCAAUAGUUGAACGAAAGAGAAUAGAAAUACUAAUUUAUAUUGUUAUUAUUUUUUAAUGAAAGUAUACAUGCUAUGUUAAUAGAUUUUUUUAAAAUAUUCGUAAUUUUGUAAACGGUUUGGUGAGUGUUGUUGCAUUAAUAUAUUGUUUGUACCUACAGCUAGGUGUUACACCAUCGACAUUAAUCAAUUUUUGUUACUAGGAAGCAAUCACAAAUACUCAUUAUCCUUUAUUGUUUCAUCUUAUACUUCCAAGACUUCAUCGUGCACCUCCGACUUUUUCAAAAGAUUUACUUUUAACUGUAAUAAAUAUCUUUUUUACUUUUCACUUUCUAUUUAAAGUAAUCUUAUAUCUUUAUCUUUGCAUGUUUUUAACAAAAUUUUAAUAUUUUUAUCUUUUAUUUAUAACUUUAUAACUAUUUAAUUUAAUUUAAAAACCAAAUAUUAUUUAAUAUAUUUUUGUAUUUUAAUAAUUAAUAAAAUAUAAUUUUUUUUCGUUUAAAAUAAAUUAUUAUUAAAUUUUAAAUAGAAAAUAAAAUUUGAGAAAAAGUUAUCGGAUAUACAAAAGUUUUUAAUAAAUUUGUUUAUUAUUUAUAAUUUAUUAAUUAUUUAAUUUAAUUUAAAAAUUUAAUAAUAUUUAAUAUAUUUUACAUUUAAAUAACAAUUAAAAUAUAAUUUAUAUUAUUGUAGUUGUAAUAUUAAAAAUAUUAAAAAACUAAUAAUAAUUAAAAAACAUAAAAUUUUUCGAAUCCUAUUUUAUUAAUUUAAUAUUUUAAUAUAAUUUAGUAUUUUUAUAUAUAUUAAAUAAAUUUUUAUAUAAUUGUUUUUAUUUUUAUUAAUUUUAUUUUAAUUAUUUUAAUUUUAAUUUUAAAAAUAUAAGUGUUAUAUAAAAAAUUAAAUUAUUUGGAAUUUUAAAUAAAAAAUAAAUUUUUUUAAAAAAAGGUCAUCGGAUAUUGAUAUCCGAUAACACAUUUAUCAGAUUUCCAAUUCCGACAGGAAUGUUUUCAAAUAUUUUUUAAUUUAUAUUUUAUUAAUUAUUUAAUUUAAUUUAAAAAUUUAAUUUAAUUUAAUAUAUUUUAUAUUUAAAUAAUUAUUAAAAUAUAAUUUAUAUUAUUAUGAUACUAAUAUUAAAAAAUUUAAAAUAAAAAUAAUAAUAAUUAAGAAAUAUAAAAAUUUUGAUAUCCUAUUUUAUUAACUUAAUAUUUUAAUAUUAUUUAACUAUAUUUAUAUAUUAAACUAGUUUUUAUAUAAUUAUUUUUAUUUUAACUUUUGUAAUGUACCUAUUAUAUAAAAAUUAAAUCAUUAUUGAAUUUCAAAUAAAAAAUAAAAUUAAAAAAAAAAGUUAUCGGAUAUUGAUAUCCGAUAACAUAUUGAUAUCCGAUAACAUGCUCAUCGGAUUUUUAAUUCCGAUAACAUAGUUAUCGGAUUUUCAAUUCCGAUAAUAAUGUUUAAAAAAAUUUGUUUCUUAUUUUUACUUUAUUAAUUAUUUAAUUUAUUUUAAAGACUUAAUAUUAUUAAUUUAUUUUAUUUUAAAUAACUAUUAAAAUAUAAUUUAUAUAAUUUUAGUACUAUUAUUAAAAAAUUAAAAUAAUAAUAAUUGGAAAAUCUAAAAAUUUCGAAAUUUGAUUUCUUGAUAUAAUAUAAUUUAAUAUACUUUAUUAUAUUAAAUCAGACUUUUUGUAAUUAUUUUUAUUUUUAUUACUUUUAUUUUAAUUAUUUUANUUUUAAUUUUAGUAAUAUAAUUAUUAUAAUAAUAUAAAUUAUAUUUUAAUAAUUAUUAAAAUAUGAAAAAAUAUUAAAUAAUAUUAGAUUUUUAAAUUAAAUUAAAGAGUUAUUAAAAUAUAAAUAAAAGACAGUUUUGAAAAAAAUUAAAAAAGGAUACAGAGUUAAAAAAUGUAGGAUUAUUCUGAAUAGAAAAAAAAAAGUAAAAAGUAUAUUUACAAAAGUUAAAAAAUAAAGUUUUGAAAAAGUUAUAAAUAUAAGAUUAGGUAUUGGAGGUGCAGGAUGAAACCCCUUACUUUAAAUAGAAAGUGAAAAAUAAAAAGAUAUUUACUAAAAUUAAAAGUAAAUUUUUAAAAAAGUUGGAGGUGCAGGAUGAAACCUUUGGAGGUGUAAGAUGAAACACCCUUAUCCUUUUGGCAUUGAGCUGAAAAGGUUUGGGUGUUGCUCCCUGCACCUCCCCAUUUGCUUCCUACACCUCCCCAUUCCCUUUAUACCCUUCAGUCUAUUUUUCUAUUCCUAUUUUAUCCUUUAGUAAAAGUUUAUAUUUAGGGUAAAAAUUUUAUGAUUUCAGUUCUUCACCCCCACACAACCUAUGCAUUCAUUCUUACUCUUUUUUACUCUUUCUUUUUAGAAAUUCUAUGAAAAUGUGGUGAGUGAGAAAUUGUUUUAAAAAGAUUGGUUGAAGAAUUUUCUUUGGAAUAACAAAGUUUAAUUUUGUGUAUGGUACAGUGAUGGUGCUCAGACCUUACAAGAUGAGGUACGUAACCUUGUAAACAAAUAUGGACAUUCAUCGCCGGAUGUCAACAUCCGUUUAAGACAAAAUGGAUGUUGAGAUCCGUUUGGCAUAAAUAUUUAUUUUUGUUUAUCUUUUAUUCAUCCACUUUGUGUCUACGUCUCCAUAUAUUAUAAUCAUAACACUGACAGAUUAACUCAUUACUCCAUUGCAUAUGCGCAAUCAUCAGAGGGAAAAAAGAUGAAACUCUCUGCAAAGGUAAUUUCAUUUCGUAUUCNCAGUGGAGUAUUGAUUAUACANGCUAUGAUGCUUUUCUAUACCUCAUUUCAGUCAAGACUGCUGCAUGUAUAUAUUAUAAAUACAAAUUCCUUUCGGUGGAAAUGUUUUUAAGAAUAAAUAAUAUACAUUUAUAUAUUAUCAUCUAUUAAAAAUNAUUAUUCCUAUAAUUUUUUUCCUUUGUAUGAUAAUUAUCUGGAAAAGUAUAUCAAAAAUGUUUUUUACUUACUGCCAUGAAAUUUUUUAUACGACAAAUACAUAUUAGAUUCUAAGGUAAUAUUAUUGCCUCAUCCAAUAAUUUUUUACAUAAACUUUGUAUAUCCACUGUAUAUUUUACCUUUCUAUCUCUCUUUCUUUACAGAUACAAAAUUAACUUUUCUAAUGAUUAAAAUAACAGUGGUAGAAAAAAAAUAAAGAAAAUAGAAGUAUUUGUAUUGAGAAUUGCAGUGUAGUUAAUGACUAAUAUUCCUACAAAGGAGUGUCAUUGAUAGAAAACCACAACAAAAAUAAAGAAAAUAGAAGUAUUUGUAUUGAGAAUUGGAAAGUCCUCUGUCCAAUUUAUGGUCGAGAUGGACUUCAAACUGGGCUUCUUACAAGACGAAAAUAGAAAUUAGAAGACAGAAACUUAGUAUCCAAUUCUGAGAAGAACCAGCUCCUUACUUUGAGAACCAGGACCCACUAUGAUGGCUUACAACUUGUCUGUAAGUUAUUAAACAUUGAAACAAAAUAACCCAUCAACAAAAUAAACAGCAUCAUACAAGAAUUAAACAGAUUUGAAGGCUGCAAUCUAACAUCCAUUAACCAAAAGAAUGGUAUCAAUAAAUAAAGCAUAGCAAGUAUUAACGCAUAACACAAUAAAUGUAGUAUUAUAUAAUAUUUUAGAAAUAAUACAUCAAAUUACCACUUACCAAACUCUUUAGUCUCUCUCGCUGAAAUAGCUCUCUAUCAAUUAGACGUCGACGGAUGUCGACAUCUGUUUCAAGGCCAAACGGAUGUCGACAUUCGUUCUGACCUGAGCAGUUCACACAGCAGCGACAAGAAGCACACACAACAGCGAUAACAUGCACAGUAAAAUCAGUAAAAUCAAAGGUGAUGGAUACUAAAGGAGAAAAAAAACGAACACACCUGGAUGGAAGUAAAAAGAACCACCACAGCAACAGACGCACCACCACGAACAAUAAGAACCCACCGCACGCACCGCACCACCGCACCCCGCACCACCUCACCUCACCACCACUCAGAGCAAAGGUGAAGUGUGAAGGAUGAAGGAGAAUGAUGAAAGUCAGAGGAAGAGAGGCAGAUGUAUUGGGGGGGGUGGCUGCGAGAGAGAAAAAAUGAAUAUUUAGGGUUUGGUAAAUAAAGUUAAAAAUAAAAAUGUCAAAAGGUUAAAAAGGUAAAAUAAAAGGAUAUUUUUGUAAUUAAAUAAAAAUUAUAAAAAAUUGGGGAGGUGGAGGAAGAAAAUGGGGAGGUGGAGGGAGUAACUCCCGAAAGGUUUUCAUGGAAUGGGCCGGAUGUACAUACCUCAAAAAGCCCAACACUAUUUCUAUACAUAAGUUUUGGACGCUUCUUUCUACACUCCACAUUUUUCUUUCUGCAUCUCUAAGCUUUUUCUUUUUUUCCCAUUUUAUCCUCUUUAUAACAACAAAUCGUAUAACAUGAUAUGGAAGAACUAAUUAGAUAAAAAAAAUUCAGGAGAUGUAUUGUGAACUAGAACUAGAAAUACGGUUUUUUUUUUUAAAAGGAUAGUUGUCAGAUUUCAGAUACAUUUUAUCAGAUUUUCAAAUUUGAUAACCCUUACAAAAAUCAAAUUUUACAAUCCAAUAUUAAAAAAAAAUUACAUUUAACUAUAUUUUAAAAUUUGGUAAAAAAAUCAUGUAUAAAUAUAUUUUAAAAUUCAGUAAAAAAAAUUAAACAUAACUAAAUUUCAAAAUUUGGUAAAAAAAAAAAUACUUUUUAAAAUUUAGUAGAAAAAAAUUGACACUUGUUAUAAUAAAUAAAGUUCGAAUUUCACCAAGCCAUCCAAAAAAUUAGACUUAAACGAGUUAUUGGUAUAUACGACUAUUUAACAGCCAUCACUUAACUAAAGAUAAAAAUUAAAUUAAUAAUUACAACUAAUCAUCAUCUUCUGAGGAAUUUCACAAUUUUUAAAAAUAUUUAAAUAAAUUAAAUUUAUAUUUAUCUCAUCUAAAAUCAUUUCUUAAUAUUGAUAAUUUUUUUUAAUCAAACUUGAUUGAUGCUAUUUUUAAUUAAAAUUUAUUUAAAAAAUCUAAUAAAAAAAUUCAACUAAUUUUAAAAAACCUUAAUUCUCAUUUGAAUAAUAUUCCAGACAUUAUUUAAGAAAACUUUAAUUCAUAUACAGCAAAAAUGAUAGUAUUUUAUAAUAAUAAUAAUAAAAAUAAUCUUAAUAAUAUAAAUAAUAUUUCUUUUAACAUCAAUAAUGAAAUUUUAAUCAAUAUUCAUAAAGAAAAAUGAUCUACCGAUUUUAUAUAAAAAUCUUAACUAACAUGAGAAGUAAUUUCAAUAUAAAAUAAAUAAAUAAACGUAAUUGAUAUUAAAAAGUUAUAACAUUUUAAAUUAACCUAAAACAACAGUUAUCAUAAAUUAUAAAACAAGUUUGUUUGAAUUUAGUUGAAAAAUACAUUUAAAUAGAGAUGUCACUGUUCACCUUAUGUGCUAUGAUGCUCUCGAGACAAUUGUUCAUCUGUUUUCAUUUUUUUUUUUAUUUGAUAUCCAAAUUCGAUUAAGUGUGAGAUAAUUUUUGUUUAUAAGAUUUCAAAGUUUGAUUAAAUGCAAAUUUUUUUAUUUACCUAAUUUCGAAAUUUGAGAUUGUGUAUAUUUUUUUUUAUCGAAUUUUGAAACAGAGUUAUGUAUGAAUUAUUUUUUCUUAUCCAUUUUGAUAUCCGAUUUAAUGUAAAUCUAUGAUUUUUUUUUUUAUUUACUAGAUUUGAAAAUAUGAUAGUUUAGUUGUAGUUUGAGUUUUGAAAUCCAACAACUACACUUCUAAAAAAAUUAACUGAAUUUCUUGUUUCAAUUCUUAUCCCAUCUUCCAAAUUUUUUGAUCUGGUUAAUUAUCUCAUAUUAUAUUAUCCAAGAUUGCUAUUAUGAAAUGAAUAAAAUGAAAAAAAAAAGGAAAAAGUUUAGAAGUACAAGAAGAAAACCUAGGAUUGGAAGAAAUGCCCUAAGUUUGUCUUUACUAAUUGCCUGACUUCCUAAAGAAGUGUAAGGCUAGAAGAAGGGAUUUCUUUCUACACCUCACUUUCAUUCACUUAUCUAUCCCUUAUUACAAAAGUUUAUACUCCAUAUUUUCUUCCAAAUUUACAUUACGAAUCUUCUUAUCUUUUAGAUUUACAUUAUAAAUUAUAGAAUUCAAAAUGUAAAUUUGUAUUAUAAACUAUCAAAAUUAUAUUUUAUAUUUUAAUUGUCUUUUAAAUUUGUAUUAUGAAUUAUACAAUAUUUAAUGUUAAAUUAUAUUACAGUUUGUGAAAUGUAUUUUAUAUUACAAAUUGCUUUUCAAAUUUGCAUUAAUUCAAAAUAUAAAUUUGUAUUAUAGAUUGUAUAAUACAUAAUAUAAUUUAUAUUUUUCAAAUUUGUAUUACAUAUUAUACAAUCUAAAAUGUAAAUUUACAUUAUGAAAUUAAUUUGCAUGUCAGAAUAUCUUUCAGAUUUAUAUUAUGGAUUGUAUAAUCAAAAUAUAAUUUACUUCUAAAUUAUGUUUCAUAUUUGAAUUAUAAAUUGUACUAAUACAAAAAUAAUAUUUUAUGACGUACAAAAACGAUUUAUGAUAUACAUAAUUUUGUAUAUUAUAAUAGGUUAGUUUCUAUGACUCGAAUGACGUUUAACCGUUUCAGAAUAUUUUGAAAAUAAAAUCUCUUUUAAUCCAUUUCUUCUAUACUAUAAAUAUUUAAAGAAUGGUCAGCUUUAUUCAUUUUCUCCAUCACCGUCUUCAAAAAAAUGACAAAUUCUCGAUUGUUAUUGCUGGACUUUGGAUUCGCAGUUUCAAUUACAUAUGACAAAUUUAAAUUUAAAUUUCUGUCGGUUGCAACAGUUACCUUGCAAAAGUUUAAAUUUCUCCUACGGUCUUAUACCAACUAUAUUCUUAUGAUGUUUUAUCGUGAUAUUAUUUCAUAUUUAGUACUAUAGUGUAUGAUUCUGUAUGUUAAAUUUGGAGUAGUGUAAAGUGUAUAAAGGUGUAAAAAUUACUGUGUAUUGUGUUGGAAAAGUGAGGAAUAUGGAGUUAUGCCAUACGUAAAAUACCAAAAAAUUAUUACAAGAAACAAACAAGUGUGAUUUGAACAGAGAUGAGCAGAGAAAUAUAA
rnacentral:lncRNA from 1 species